rnacentral:misc_RNA from 1 species
GAUGAAGAACGUAGCGAAAUGCGAUAAGUAAUGUGAAUUGCAGAAUUCAGUGAAUCAUCGAAUCUUUGAACGCACAUUGCGCCCGCCAGUAUUCUGGCGGGCAUGCCUGUUCGAGCGUCAUUUCAACCCUCAGGCCCCCAGUGCCUGGUGUUGGGGAUCGGCCCAGCCUUCCUGUAAGGCCGCCGGCCCCGAAAUCUAGUGGCGGUCUCGCUGUAGUCCUCCUCUGCGUAGUAGCACAACCUCGCAGUUGGAACGCGGCGGUGGCCAUGCCGUUAAAAACCCCACUUCUGAAAGUUGACCUCGGAUCAGGUAGGAAUACCCGCUGAACUUAAGCAUAUCAAUAAGCGGAGGA